rnacentral:rRNA from 1 species
GAUGAACGCUGGCGGCGUGCCUAAUACAUGCAAGUCGAGCGAACGGACGAGAAGCUUGCUUCUCUGAUGUUAGCGGCGGACGGGUGAGUAACACGUGGAUAACCUACCUAUAAGACUGGGAUAACUUCGGGAAACCGGAGCUAAUACCGGAUAAUAUUUUGAACCGCAUGGUUCAAAAGUGAAAGACGGUCUUGCUGUCACUUAUAGAUGGAUCCGCGCUGCAUUAGCUAGUUGGUAAGGUAACGGCUUACCAAGGCAACGAUGCAUAGCCGACCUGAGAGGGUGAUCAGCCACACUGGAACUGAGACACGGUCCAGACUCCUACGGGAGGCAGCAGUAGGGAAUCUUCCGCAAUGGGCGAAAGCCUGACGGAGCAACGCCGCGUGAGUGAUGAAGGUCUUCGGAUCGUAAAACUCUGUUAUUAGGGAAGAACAUAUGUGUAAGUAGCUGUGCACAUCUUGACGGUACCUAAUCAGAAAGCCACGGCUAACUACGUG